rnacentral:rRNA from 1 species
AAAUUGAAGAGUUUGAUCAUGGCUCAGAUUGAACGCUGGCGGCAGGCCUAACACAUGCAAGUCGAACGGUAACAGGAAGCAGCUUGCUGCUUUGCUGACGAGUGGCGGACGGGUGAGUAAUGUCUGGGAAACUGCCUGAUGGAGGGGGAUAACUACUGGAAACGGUGGCUAAUACCGCAUAACGUCGCAAGACCAAAGAGGGGGACCUUCGGGCCUCUUGCCAUCAGAUGUGCCCAGAUGGGAUUAGCUUGUUGGUGAGGUAACGGCUCACCAAGGCGACGAUCCCUAGCUGGUCUGAGAGGAUGACCAGCCACACUGGAACUGAGACACGGUCCAGACUCCUACGGGAGGCAGCAGUGGGGAAUAUUGCACAAUGGGCGCAAGCCUGAUGCAGCCAUGCCGCGUGUAUGAAGAAGGCCUUCGGGUUGUAAAGUACUUUCAGCGGGGAGGAAGGUGUUGUGGUUAAUAACCGCAGCAAUUGACGUUACCCGCAGAAGAAGCACCGGCUAACUCCGUGCCAGCAGCCGCGGUAAUACGGAGGGUGCAAGCGUUAAUCGGAAUUACUGGGCGUAAAGCGCACGCAGGCGGUCUGUCAAGUCGGAUGUGAAAUCCCCGGGCUCAACCUGGGAACUGCAUUCGAAACUGGCAGGCUUGAGUCUUGUAGAGGGGGGUAGAAUUCCAGGUGUAGCGGUGAAAUGCGUAGAGAUCUGGAGGAAUACCGGUGGCGAAGGCGGCCCCCUGGACAAAGACUGACGCUCAGGUGCGAAAGCGUGGGGAGCAAACAGGAUUAGAUACCCUGGUAGUCCACGCCGUAAACGAUGUCUACUUGGAGGUUGUGCCCUUGAGGCGUGGCUUCCGGAGCUAACGCGUUAAGUAGACCGCCUGGGGAGUACGGCCGCAAGGUUAAAACUCAAAUGAAUUGACGGGGGCCCGCACAAGCGGUGGAGCAUGUGGUUUAAUUCGAUGCAACGCGAAGAACCUUACCUGGUCUUGACAUCCACAGAACUUUCCAGAGAUGGACUGGUGCCUUCGGGAACUGUGAGACAGGUGCUGCAUGGCUGUCGUCAGCUCGUGUUGUGAAAUGUUGGGUUAAGUCCCGCAACGAGCGCAACCCUUAUCCUUUGUUGCCAGCGGUUAGGCCGGGAACUCAAAGGAGACUGCCAGUGAUAAACUGGAGGAAGGUGGGGAUGACGUCAAGUCAUCAUGGCCCUUACGACCAGGGCUACACACGUGCUACAAUGGCGCAUACAAAGAGAAGCGACCUCGCGAGAGCAAGCGGACCUCAUAAAGUGCGUCGUAGUCCGGAUUGGAGUCUGCAACUCGACUCCAUGAAGUCGGAAUCGCUAGUAAUCGUGGAUCAGAAUGCCACGGUGAAUACGUUCCCGGGCCUUGUACACACCGCCCGUCACACCAUGGGAGUGGGUUGCAAAAGAAGUAGGUAGCUUAACCUUCGGGAGGGCGCUUACCACUUUGUGAUUCAUGACUGGGGUGAAGUCGUAACAAGGUAACCGUAGGGGAACCUGCGGUUGGAUCACCUCCUUACCUGAAAGAAGC